rnacentral:misc_RNA from 1 species
GAUGAAGAACGCAGCGAAAUGCGAUACGUAAUGUGAAUUGCAGAAUUCAGUGAAUCAUCGAAUCUUUGAACGCAUAUUGCGCUCUCUGGUAUUCCGGAGAGCAUGCUUGUUUGAGUAUCAGUAAACACCUCAACUCCCUUUUCUUUUUUGAAAUGGGAGCUGGACUUGAGUGAUCCCAACGCUUUUCUCACCGGAAAGUGGCGGGUUACUUGAAAUGCAGGUGCAGCUGGACUUUUCUCUGAGCUUUAAGCAUAUCUAUUUAGUCUGCCUAAAAACAGAUUAUUACCUUUGCUGCAGCUAACAUAAAGGAGAUUAGUUCUUGUGCUGACUGAUGCAGGAUUCACAGAGACAGCUUCGGCUGACUUUGUAAACUCGAUCUCAAAUCAAGUAAGACUACCCGCUGAACUUAAGCAUAUCAAUAAGCGGAGGA